UACGUAGGGUGCAAGCGUUAAUCGGAAUUACUGGGCGUAAAGCGUGCGCAGGCGGUUUUGUAAGUCUGACGUGAAAUCCCCGGGCUCAACCUGGGAAUUGCGUUGGAGACUGCAAGGCUGGAGUCUGGCAGAGGGGGGUAGAAUUCCACGUGUAGCAGUGAAAUGCGUAGAUAUGUGGAGGAAUACCGAUGGCGAAGGCAGCCCCCUGGGUCAAGACUGACGCUCAUGCACGAAAGCGUGGGGAGCAAACAGG
rnacentral:rRNA from 1 species